UAGGGAAUCUUCCGCAAUGGACGCAAGUCUGACGGAGCAACGCCGCGUGAGUGAAGAAGGUUUUCGGAUCGUAAAACUCUGUUGUUAGAGAAGAACAAGUGCUAGAGUAACUGUUAGCGCCUUGACGGUAUCUAACCAGAAAGCCACGGCUAACUACGUGCCAGCAGCCGCGGUAAUACGUAGGUGGCAAGCGUUGUCCGGAUUUAUUGGGCGUAAAGCGAGCGCAGGCGGUUCCUUAAGUCUGAUGUGAAAGCCCCCGGCUCAACCGGGGAGGGCCAUUGGAAACUGGGGAACUUGAGUGCAGAAGAGGAGAGUGGAAUUCCAUGUGUAGCGGUGAAAUGCGUAGAUAUAUGGAGGAACACCAGUGGCGAAGGCGACUCUCUGGUCUGUAACUGACGCUGAGGCUCGAAAGCGUGGGUAGCAAACAGGAUUAGAUACCCUGGUAGUCCACGCCGUAAACGAUGAGUGCUAAGUGUUGGAGGGUUUCCGCCCUUCAGUGCUGCAGUUAACGCAUUAAGCACUCCGCCUGGGGAGUACGACCGCAAGGUUG
rnacentral:rRNA from 1 species